GCAUGUCGAACGAACACUUGUGCUUAGUGGCGAAUGGGUGAGUAACACGUACUUAAUCUGCCCUCAAGUCUGGGACAACAGUUGGAAACGACUGCUAAUACCGGAUAUGUAUUACUUCCGCAUGGAAGUAAUAUGAAAGAAGCGUUUGCUUCGCUUAACGAUGAGAGUGCGCUGUAUUAGUUAGUUGGUAGGGUAAAGGCCUACCAAGACGAUGAUACAUAGCGGGGUCGAGAGGCUGAACCGCCACACUGGCACUGAGAUACGGCCCAGACUCCUACGGGAGGCAGCAGUAGGGAAUUUUCCACAAUGAACGAAAGUUUGAUGGAGCGACACAGCGUGCAGGAUGAAGGUCUUCGGAUCGUAAACUGCUGUUAUAAGAGAAGAACAAGUUUGAUAGGAAAUAAUCAAACCCUGACGGUACCUUAUCAGAAAGCACCGGCAAACUAUGUGACAGCAGCCGCGGUAAUACAUAGGGUGCAAGCGUUAUCCGGAAUUAUUGGGCGUAAAGCCUUCGUAGGCGGUUUAUUAAGUCUAGAGUUAAAUACUGGGGCUCAACCCCAGCUCGCUAUAGAUACUGGUAGACUAGAGUUAUAGAGAGAUUAGCGGAACUCCAUGUGAAGCGGUGGAACGCGUAGAUAUAUGGAAGAACACCAAUAGCGAAGGCAGCUAAUUGGCUAUACACUGACGC
rnacentral:rRNA from 1 species